GGGCCCGUAGCCUAGCGGACAAGGCGGCAGCCUUCGGAGCUGCAGGUCAGGGGUUCGAAAGUGUGUCUGUUGGGCAGGCACAUUGAAAAUCCCCUCGGGCCCG
rnacentral:tRNA from 1 species